GGUGAAAGGCCAAUCAAACUCGGAGAUAGCUGGUUCUCUGCGAAAUCUAUUUAGGUAGAGCGUUGGACGAAUACUCCCGGGGGUAGAGCACUGGAUGGGUAAUGGGGACUCACCGUCUUACUGAUCCUAACCAAACUCCGAAUACCGGGAAGUACUAUCCAGCAGACAGACGGCGGGUGCUAACGUCCGUCGUCAAGAGGGAAACAACCCUGACCACCAAUUAAGGUCCCCAAGUCAUGGCUAAGUGGGAAAGGAAGUGAGACUCCCAAAACAACCAGGAUGUUGGCUUAGAAGCAGC
rnacentral:rRNA from 1 species